AGGGUGAGGAGGUGGAGGACGAGGAGGGUGACAGUGAGGAGGUGUGAUGGCCUCCUCCUCCUCCCACGUCGUCCUCAAGCGCCAGCGGAGCCUCACGGGGCGAGGCAGCCCCACGGAGCAGAAGAGAAAGAGCCCCGUCUUCAACCAAGGAGUGUGGUACGAGAAAAAAAGACGCAGUUCGCGGACACUGUCCAGCUCAAAGAGAUUGUUUCUGGAUCCGUACUCGUCCUCCGAAGACAGCGACAAUGACGACAACUUCCCAAACACACAGACUCAGUGACACACACACAGACACACACACACAGACUCGGUGACACACACACAGACACACACACAGACACACACACAGACACACACACAGACACACACACAGACACACACAGACACACACACAGACACACACAGACUCAGUGACACACACACAGACACACACAGACUCAGUGACACACACACAGACACACACAGACACACACACAGACACACACAGACUCAGUGACACACACACAGACACACACACGUACACACACACAGACUCAGUGACACACACACAGACUCAGUGACACACACACAGACACACACACAGACACACAGACACACACAGACUCAGUGACACACACACAGACUCAGUGACAACAAAGAUCCCCCAUAUAGCCUUAACAGACUGUAGGGGCAAGUGCUGUUAGCGAGCACCUAUGAAGGCCAGCACGGCACACGAGGGGGUGGGUGGCCAGCACCACGCCCGACCGCCUUUGUCUCCCUAGUGGUGAUGUUUACACACCGCACCAGGUACUCAUUUGAGGCUGAGUCGACCUAGGGGAGGCCCAGGACCGGUUCAGAUAAUCGUCACUGGUGUUGGCCGUGAGCGGGAAUCGAACUCGGGUCACCGGGUUCAUAGCGCAGCGCGCUAACCGCUACACUAUCGCUCCGUGUCGCUGUGUGUGUCGCUGUGUGUGUCUGUGUGUGUCUGUGUGUGUGUCACUCAGUGACACACACACAGACACACACACAGACACAGUGACACACACACAGACUCACACACAGACACACACACAGACUCAGUGACAAACACACAGACUCAGUGACACGCACACAGACACACAGACACAGUGACACACACACAGACACACACACAGACACACACACAGACUCAGUGACACACACACAGACACACACACAGACUCAGUGACACACACACAGGCACACACACAGACUCAGUGACACACACACAGACUCAGUGACACACACACAGACUCAGUGACACACACACAGACACACACAGACACACACAGACACACUCACAGACACAUAGACACACACGGAGACACACACAGACAUACACAGAGACACACACAUAGACACACAGACACACACAGAGACACACACACAGACACACACAGAGACACAUAGACACACACAGAGACACACAGACACACACACAGACUCAGUGACACACACAGACACACACAGACACAUAGACACACACAGACACACUCACAGACACACUCACAGACACACACAGACACACACAGACACACAGCUGAAGUGGGCUACUCAAGCUGCUCGCUCUGCUUUGGGUGUUGCCCGUCGAUUUGGAAGUAAUCCCGCGGCAACGCCGCCUCAAGAGAACGACGACCCACAAAAGGGUUUUGAAGUUAUAUCCGUUGACUCGUGAACCGAAUAAAUCCCGUGUUCCUCGUU